rnacentral:rRNA from 1 species
UACGAAGGGGGGCGAGCGUUGUUCGGAUUUACUGGGCGUAAAGGGCGCGUAGGCGGUUCGUACAGUCAGACGUGAAAUUCCUGGGCUCAACCUGGGGGCUGCGUUUGAUACGUGCGGACUUGAGUGCGGAAGAGGGUCGUGGAAUUCCCAGUGUAGAGGUGAAAUUCGUAGAUAUUGGGAAGAACACCGGUGGCGAAGGCGGCGACCUGGUCCGAUACUGACGCUGAGGCGCGAAAGCGUGGGGAGCAAACAGG